ACGCCAGACUCCUACGGGAGGCAGCAGUGGGGGAUAUUGCACAAUGGGGGAAACCCUGAUGCAGCGACGCCGCGUGUGGGAAGACGGUCCUCUGGAUUGUAAACCACUGUCCCCAGGGACGAAGAUGACGGUAUCUAACGAAUAAGCACCGGCUAACUCCGUGCCAGCAGCCGCGGUAAUACGGAGGGUGCAAGCGUUACUCGGAAUCACUGGGCGUAAAGAGCGCGUAGGCGGGAUAGCAAGUCAGAUGUGAAAUCCUAUGGCUUAACCAUAGAACUGCAUUUGAAACUGUUAUUCUAGAGUAUGGGAGAGGUAGGUGGAAUUCUUGGUGUAGGGGUAAAAUCCGUAGAGAUCAAGAGGAAUACUCAUUGCGAAGGCGACCUGCUAGAACAUAACUGACGCUGAUGCGCGAAAGCGUGGGGAGCAAACAGGAUUAGAUACCCCAGUAC
rnacentral:rRNA from 1 species